rfam:Ovis aries breed Texel chromosome 3, whole genome shotgun sequence.
UCCCAGGUGGCUCAGUGCUAAAGAAUCUGCCUGCAAUGCAGGAGAUUCGGGUUUGAUCCCCGGUCUAGGAA